GAUGAACGCUAGCGAUAGGCCUAACACAUGCAAGUCGAGGGGCAUCACAUGAAGUAGCAAUACGGAUGGUGGCGACCGGCGCACGGGUGAGUAACACGUAUGCAACCUGCCUUCAACAAGGGCAUAACCCGUUGAAAGACGGACUAAUUCCCUAUAACACAGGGGUCCCGCAUGGGAAUAUUUGUUAAAGAUUAAUCGGUUGAAGAUGGGCAUGCGUUCCAUUAGCUUGUUGGCGGGUAACGGCCCACCAAGGCAACGAUGGAUAGGGGAACUGAGAGGUUUAUCCCCCACACUGGUACUGAGACACGGACCAGACUCCUACGGGAGGCAGCAGUGAGGAAUAUUGGUCAAUGGACGCAAGUCUGAACCAGCCACGUCGCGUGAAGGAAGACGGCCCUACGGGUUGUAAACUUCUUUUGUAAGGGAAUAAAGUGGGCCACGUGUGGCUUUUUGCAUGUACCUUACGAAUAAGGAUCGGCUAACUCCGUGCCAGCAGCCGCGGUAAUUACUGACU
rnacentral:rRNA from 1 species